GAUGAACGCUGGCGGCGUGCCUAACACAUGCAAGUCGAACGGACUCUUCAUGAAGCCUAGCGAUUGAAAAGUUAGUGGCGGACGGGUGAGUAACGCGUGGGUAACCUGCCCCAGACCGGGGGAUAACAGUCGGAAACGACUGCUAAUACCGCAUAAGCGCACAGUGCCGCAUGGCACAGUGUGAAAAACUCCGGUGGUCUGGGAUGGACCCGCGUCCGAUUAGUUAGUUGGCGGGGUAACGGCCCACCAAGACCGCGAUCGGUAGCCGACCUGAGAGGGUAACCGGCCACAUUGGGACUGAGACACGGCCCAGACUCCUACGGGAGGCAGCAGUGGGGAAUAUUGCACAAUGGAGGAAACUCUGAUGCAGCGACGCCGCGUGAGCGAAGAAGUAUUUCGGUAUGUAAAGCUCUGUCAGCAGGGAAGAUAAUGACGGUACCUGACCAAGAAGCCCCGGCUAACUACGUG
rnacentral:rRNA from 1 species